UCCUUUGAAAGGGCGAGCCCGAGCUUCUGCAGCCUGCCUUGCCCUUCCUUUCGGGCUCUACUGUGGAAAUCACUCCUUCCAAGUGUAAUCAGACUUUAUUCUGGAAUCGUCUCCAUGGUUAGAAGUCAGUCCUUCCCUCUCUCCACCGCCGUCGAGCUGGGCUGCCGCGGUGCCCGCAGCACCAGCUCCACAUGGGCUGCUGCGCGGACGCCCCUCAACGCUGCCGCCCAGGGGCUGUUCUCCCUCCGCCCUGAGAGUUUCGCUGGCUCUGGACCAAGAGUUUGGACUCUAUUUCAUUCAMAUGGAUCCUGCGUAUAUUCUGUGCRGGUCCUUUCCUGGGGGACCGCAGCCACUGCUGUUCUCAUGCCCUGUAGUGGGUCCCGUUUGCCAAAAAUGCUUUGAUUUUUGGC